GCUAAUAAUCUAGCCCACCUAUGCCUCAUCCUACAAACCAUAAACUAAAACAUUUAUUUCAUUUAGUAAAGGCGAUCAAAAAAUUAACUGGAGCUAUAAUAAUAGUACCGCAAGGGAAAGAUGAAAUAAAAAUGAAACAAAUUUAAAGCGCAAAAAAGCAGAGAUACCCCCUCGUACCUUUUGCAUCAUGGUUUAACCAGUCCAACCAAGCGAAAAGAACUUUAGUUUGGCUUCCCGAAACUAGGCGAGCUACUUCGAGGCAGCUUAAUGAGCACACCCGUCUCUGUUGCAAAAGAGUGGGACGACCUCUAAGUAGCGGUGACAGACCUAACGAGCCUGGUGAUAGCUGGUUUCUUAAGAAAAGGAUUUUAGUCCUGCCUGAAGUAUAUUAAAUAAUUUAAAAUAAUCCCUAUACUUCAGUGUUAUUCAAAUGAGGUGCAGCCCGUUUGAAAUUAGGAUACAACCUACCCUGGUGGGUAAAUUAUAAUAUAAUAAACAAGUAGGCUUAAAAGCAGCCACCUUUAAAAUAGCGUCAAAGCUUAAUUAUUUUAACUAUUUAAUUCCACACUUCAUUCUUAACCCCCUAUCUGUAUUAAGCAGCCCUAUAAUUAUAUAGGAGCUAUUAUGUUAAAACUAGUAAUAAGAAGCAGCUCUUCUCUUAAAUGAAAGUAUAAAUCAGAAAGGACACACCACUGAUAAUUAACGCCUAUGAUUAUAAAACAGCAACUUUACCAGAAAACCCUGUUUAUUUAAACGUUAACCUAACACUAGCUCAUUUCAAGAAAGAUUAAAAGAAAAAGAAGGAACUCGGCAAACAUUAACCUCGCCUGUUUACCAAAAACAUCGCCUCUUGCACUAAUAUAAGAGGUCCAGCCUGCCCAGUGACCAAGUUCAACGGCCGCGGUAUCCUAACCGUGCGAAGGUAGCGUAAUCACUUGUUCUUUAAAUAAGGACUAGUAUGAACGGCACCACGAGGGUUAUACUGUCUCCUUUUUCCAAUCAAUGAAACUGAUUUCCCCGUGAAGAAGCGGGGAUACUUCUAUAAGACGAGAAGACCCUAUGGAGCUUCAAACCAAAUAGCAUCGGCUAUACCUUAAUAUUUUAAUCAAUAACUUUUAUUAUCGCCCUCUGACUAUUAGUUUUAGGUUGGGGUGACCGCGGAACAAAAAUUAACCUCCAUGGUGAAAACUUUUUCCUGAGCCAAGAGCGACAGCUCUAAGCACCAAAACAUUGACACAAAUUGACCCAAUAACUUGAGCAACGAACCAAGUUACCCUAGGGAUAACAGCGCAAUCCACUUCAAGAGCUCCUAUCGACAAGUGGGUUUACGACCUCGAUGUUGGAUCAGGGUAUCCUAGUGGUGUAGCCGCUACUAAUGGUUCGUUUGUUCAACGAUUAAAACCCU
rnacentral:rRNA from 1 species